GCGUGUGUAUAAUGAGCAUGUAAUAGUAAAUUGAAUUUUAGCCAUGUUUUUACAUAUCCGUCCAUCUUUUCUUCUUACUUGUGCAGCAAUGGUUAAAGAAAUGGCCCAAUAAAGCUGAAAUGAUUAGCUUGCUGGAGAAGGAACCUGGUUCCAUCAAUUCAAAGUGGUUGCUCUCUUUAGGGUUUCGCCUUUUCCCUACACAAUUUUCAACUAUGCCACACGUGGUAACAAGUAUGAGGUUUGGGCCCUGAAGCUUUCCUUUAUAUCUACAGUGGUUGGUUAAUUAGGACAUUAGCAGGUGCAAAGUAUGGAAUCCUGCACCUGACUACAGUGGAAAUUAUAUACAACAUUAUCUCCUUGUAACUUUAUUUUUUUGGGGCCACAGGGUUUAUCUUUGUAAGUACAAAAACUGUACACGCAACAACAAUAACAACAAUGAAGCCUUAGUCCCAAAAGAGGAGCAAAAAAUAAAACAAUGCUUGGUUAUAUCCUAUAAGAAAUGCUUGAGACUUCUAAGCUUGUCAGUUUCUUAUGCAAGUUCUUAGUUACCAUCUGUGAAUGUGAGAAUUAAGUUAUGCUUGUUCAGUUAGUUUGACGGCACAUCAUUUUCAAGGAAGAGAAGAAACAAUCUAAUGCCCUCGAUAUCAUGGAAGAAAGUUAAGAUGAUGUAAAAGGCAGUUGUGCUACAGAAGUAUGCUCAGUUAUUGAGGUGUAGCCCAACUUCUGAAUGCUGAAUGCAAAAGCUCGUGAAAUAUAGCACCUUUGUAUGAGCUACCCAUCUUCAAGCAGUCAGCAAACGUUUAAAGGGAAGUACAUAGAAAUGAGUGAUAAGUUCAGGUGUUAGGUG